UACGGAGGGUGCGAGCGUUAAUCGGAAUAACUGGGCGUAAAGGGCCCGCAGGCGGGCUUUUAAGUGAGAUGUGAAAUCCCCGGGCUUAACCUGGGAAAAGCAUUUCAGACUGGGAGGCUAGAGUACUUUAGGGAGGGGUAGAAUUCCACGUGUAGCGGUGAAACGCGUAGAGAUGGGGAGGAAUACCGAAGGCGAAGGCAGCCCCUUGGGAAUGUACUGACACUCAGGUGCGAAAGCGUGGGGAGCAAACGGG
rnacentral:rRNA from 1 species